UAAUUUCCAUCAUUUGAUUUUUUUAUAAAUGCAUCCCUAAACCUCUCCCUUAUUUUCUAUUUUGGGAAUUCUAGGUUCAGGCUACUGUAUGAUCAUCAGUGCUGACUUUGGAACGAAGGAAGAUUGAGGUGGGAGAAGGACAGCAUAGGGGAGGGAGGGCAGGAGAGAAAGAAGGAAGAUGUUUUAAUAUUCUCCUUUUAUAACUUUGCCUUCUGCUUCUACAGCAGAUUACAAUUUGAGUCUAAAAAUAACUGUUUUACUAUUGUCAAAUCCUGACCUCAUGGGAUUUUUCUUGCAUUUAUGUUUAGAAAAAAAAUAUAGGCCAAGUUUCAAUCUUGCCAGAUGCCUUUAUUGUCCUAUCAGAAAAUUUCUCUGAAGAAUCAGAGCAAAUGAAACCAGCAGGUGUUGUAUUUAAUAGGGUUUAUAAAACUUACUUUAAAGAAACAAAUAAAGAAAACAUAACUCAAUAGAAUCAGAAUGGGAAAGUUUUUCUUUUUUUCCAUGAUCUUAAAUGACACAUAAAAACUAUCUGGCCCUCAUAUAGAGGAGAAAGAGAUUAGACUGGAGGGCUCCAAAUUUGAUAAAAUUACAUACAGGAGUGUUGGCAGGCUAGCAAAAAGGGACUUAGUAAACAGUUACAUCCCCAUCACAACAUGCACACUAAACAAGCUCCCUGAGUUGGCCUUGCCCAAAUCAAAAUAGUCCCCUUGAUGCAGAAAUGUUUUCCAUUCCUACAUUAGGGGUUUCCCCUUUCUUCUGGUGUCUAAAUUAUUCACUAAGCAGUUAAAAGGAAGACUUCCAUUGGUAAGCCAGGAGGUCUAAUUCUCAGCCAAGUUAAUUCUACAUCAUCCCCACAUACUCCACACCUGCUUCUCCACCCGGUCUCCUAACUCUUUGAAGAGCUCCCUCAUGCAUCCCAUUGCCCAAGCCCUAGGAGUAAUCAACCCAUGAUGCUCCCUCUCCCUCAGACUCAGCAUCCAAUCACUCACCUAAUCCCUUUGACUCUAUAAUUAAAAGAGUACACUCCCCUUGCAUUCCCACUGUUGCUUUCCAAGUAGAGGCCCUAUCAUCUCUUCCCUAGACUAGUCUGUUACUCUCCUCCCCAGACUCCCUCUCAUCUUGUUGGGAUGAUUCCCAUCUAUUCUGCCCUGGACAAUUCAACUUUCAAUGCAUAGAUCCAGCUGAUCCUUGGCCAUUAUAUACCCAUAUCACCAUAACAAUUCUUUAAGACCAAGUGGUCAUUGCAUUUACCUGUUGUUAAAUAUUGAAUGCCAUCCUUAUUGCUAAUCCUGUCACCCACUUCCUUAAAAACCACUGUUACCUAAGAUGUAUUAUCUUCAAAAUACAGUCCAUACUUCUUAGCAAUGCAAAUAAGGCAAGAUAAUUUCCUAAAAUAUAAAUUUUUAUUCUUAUCAUUUCCACCUACACCUAUUCCAAAGAGGUAACCAAGCUUUGUAAUUUCUUCCUUGGGGGAUUCCCAAGAAAUAAAAUCAGAAGCUGACAUGUUUUGUAAACACCUAAAUCAUUGGAAGAAAUAAGAUUAUGUUAGACUGCCUGGAAAAUUAGGGAAAGAGAGGUGUGACAGUUCCCAGGAAACAGCUCUGGGACUCUAGGAGAGAAGUUUAUGAACAGUAGAGUGAUCCUUCACCUCAACAGUAAAGCAAGAAGUGGAGAGACCCUGAAAAGGAAGGCAGAAUGGCCUAGUCUGGGAAUCUAGAUCCUGGACGCGAGCAUUCUCAUCUUAGCAGAUUCUCAUGGGUGACGGGAAAGCAGCAAACAUGCAGGAACCACAAAGGCUGACACAAUGGAUUCUCUAUGACAACCACUGCAGACAGGUGACCGAUACCCUAAGAGGCCUCACUAAAGGCAGGACCUUGGGAGCAUUGGUGGCUCCAAAAAUAUCCGAAAUGUUGCCUCUCUUAUGCCUUCCUAAGGCAUCCAAAGCAGUAGGUUUCCUUUCACAGGUGUUUUUACUCUCAACCAGCUACUAUUUUUCAGCACAGGGGAUGGAUGGCAACUUUUUCUAAAGGGCCAGAUAGUAAAUAUUUCAGUCCCAAAUCACAACCUAUGCAGUCUGUUGCAGCCACCUAACUAAUACUGCACGAAAAUAGACAAAGACAAUACAUAAAAAUGAAUGGAUAUAGCAGUAUUCAAACAGAGCUUUAUUUAUAAGGCCAAGUGAUGAGGCAGGUUUGGGCCAGGGCAGAAUUUUCCUACCUCUACUUCUGUGUAUUAACCUAUAAGUUCUAGGUCAAAGAUUGUAACUUUCUCUAAUUCUGCAAAAAUAUAUUGUGAAUUUACCAUCAAUAUCCCAGAAAAGCUGUGUGGAUCAGGGUUUAGUAAUGAAUAAGACAAAUAAAAUCUGUUGUGUGUCUGUAAUGCAGCUUAGCUUCUCACACAUGGGGAAACAGUAAAUAAGCAAAAUCAAUAAAAUCUGUGAGCUAUCAGUCUUACAGACCAAUGAGGUUCUACUGCCUGGCCUAGUGCUCGAUACCCAAUAAAUAGUGAGAAUACUAUUUAUCCAAUGAGCGUGUUUGGUACUAGAACACCCACCCCCUCAGUGCCCAUCUUCCUAAGCAGCCAGAAGCUUAAGCUGCUGAGAUUUCCAACAGAAACUGGAGCCCCAAGCUGGCUAUAAAUAGUUGGCUCAAUAACUCAUCAUUUAAUGAGGCCACAAGGCAGUGCCUGCCUUCAGCUUCCACUGAGAGUGGAGAGGACCAAGAGCUGGAGACCAGAUAUUUUCAAUGUGAUUAGUUCUCCAGGAUAGUGCUGAGACAACACGGGAUUAAAGCUCAUGUGGAUGUAAGCACCAUAAGGUCAAGGAUUCUAUCUGCUUUGCUUUAAUCUGUGCCUCUAGGAACCUGCACAAUGCUUGGAACGUGGUAGACAAUCCACCGAUAUUUGUUGAACAUGGGAAUUCCCAUUGUGGCUCAGCAGGGUCCAGGAGGAGACCUGCUAUGAACUGAGGGAUGAAGUGGAGGCUCCAGGUUUGGGAUGGGCGUCCACUCUGGUCACAUGUCAUGCUGGAGACCAGAGUUAUGGCUCUUGAGUUCCUUUUACAUGGUCCUAAAGAAGGGACUACAAAGAUACAGACACCAGAAUUUAAUAAAGCAGGAGCAGAAGGAUGAUAAAAGGAAGAAGGAUGAAGAGGAGAUGGAACCAGGAUGAUUUGUCAAAAAUCACAUCUAUUCCUAACUUUCCUCCUCGAGAGCCUCCAUGUUGCUCCAGCAGAACGGCCCAACCCUGUAGAGAGAAAUCCAAACGCCCUACACUCAUCCCUACACUUAAUCUGACACCUGUCUGUCUCCCUUCCCAUCAUCCACUUUGUUCCAGCCACACCCAUCUGCCACUGCUUCUCCAGACACAAUCUGUUCUUUCCUGUCUGAUCCUCCCACCCUCCGUGGGUUUCUUACAGACCGUGACUGGUGUUCCCAGUGCCUGUCUUCUCAGGGGCUUGCAGAAUGCUCACUCCUACCUAUUGUCUAUGGCUUCACUAAAUUGAGAUUCCUGGACCACAUUUAAAGUCUCCAACUUUAUUGGUGUUCUUGUACUGCUUAUCAGUAGGUUAAGAAGUCAUUUCUUACAUGACGAAGGUGUGGGGAAAAGGCACAUGCAGGGGUAAAAUGUAAGUUAGUGUAACGUUUCACAAGAGGAAUUUGACCAUGUAUUUGACCGUGAAGUGAAAUUGUCAUUCCUGACCCAGCAACUCCACUUCUGAACAUGUAUUCUAAUGAAAUAAUCCUGUAUGCCGACAAGGAAGUUUAUCGCAGCAAUGUUUAUAAUAUCAAAACGUUAUUUAAAAAAAUCAAAGUUCCCAACAAUGAGAGAUUCAUUAACUAAAUGACAGCUCAUUCAUAGAAUGGAAUGGGAUCUAGCCUGUCGCCCAGCAUCGGGGAGCGGGUGUACUCCAUCACUGUGGGACAAUGAAAGUUAAAUGAAAUAAAUAAAAGCAUUUGCUGCCUUGCAGAAGAAAGAUGGCAGUGUUAAUAAAAAAAAUGCAUUCUGCAUAUGAUAAUUGAUUUUUUAACAAGUGUAUUUUAUUUGUGAAAAAUGUCUGAGAAAUAUAUGAUUUUUUUUAAUUCAUUGGGUAAAUGAGUGCUUAAAAUUUAAAAAUAAGAUGCUGUGAAGUCAAGUAUACACUGUUCCCUAAUAGGAACAUAUCAGACUGCCUUAGGCAAGCCUUUAGGAACAAAGCCAUUCAGACAAAGGCCAUUAGCCUGAAAGCCACUGAAAGAUCUUAGCCAUGUCCACAGAAGAACCCAGACACAUGCUGGGAAACUCCCCACCCCAAUAAUAAGUUGAAACACCCCAUCCCAUAAGUAGUAGUAGUUCUUAUAUCAGCUAACAGAUUGUUAAAAGAACAAAAAUUUUAUUGCUUCUUUUUUCUCUUCCUCCUGUUGCACCCAUCUCAGUACCCACAUGCUCAGCUCAAGCAUUUCAUCAAGGUGAUACUAAAACUCUUUUUUUAUAUUUUACCCCCAAUCCCUUUGUAACAGCUAGCUUGAAACCCAUCCAUCAACCAGAAAAAUCUCAACUGGAACAUCUUGAAAACACAGAGAAAGAUAAACAGAAAACCGAAUCACAUUUUCUUGGGCAUUUCAAACCUCCCACCCCCACUAAGGGUUUUCAAGUUCCAUAUUCGGUCAUUAUUGGCUAGUGUCAUUGAUUCACUACUAACCAGUCACCCGAUGGCUUCAAACAGAGCUCUCAGUGUGUGGAAGUAAAGAUGUUAUCACCAAGAAAGUCAAGGGCCUGGGAGGCAGCUGGUUGCUUUUACAGGGACUGACGUAUCUGGAAGGAGACUCUGCCUGGCUUCUGAAUAUAAACAGGAAUGAGUCAGGUAGAAGCAGAAUAAAUAAGCACAGUGACUGAGAGACAUUUCCCAAAGAGCAGGCUCGGGGGAGUGGAAUAGACACCAACCCCCCCUGGGGUUUCUGCCAGACUCAAUGUUAGGAGGAGGACAGACUUUGGAGUUGACAAACCUGACUUAGAAUACUGGUUCAGCCAGCUCUUAAGAGUAUAUGCUGAGCAAGUUACCAAACCCUCUGAGCCUCAGUUUUCCUGCCAGAAAAAAUGGAUGCAAUAACACCUACUUCCCAGGGUCGUUGGGAAUAAUUAGAGCCAAUGUGGGAACUCGUUAUGCCUAGCAUGUCAUGAAUACUAUAUAAAUGAGGAUGCUGUUAUUUGGGAAGGAGAAGCCAAGCCAGGCAGGAUACAGGAAACAUUCUUAGGGAAGAGACGACGUCCAAAUAUUCUCUUUCCAUUUCAGAUCAGCCAGCUUUCAACAACCGGAGUGGAAGGCACCAGCUGAAUUCACUCUUUCCAUCCAGCUAGAGGUCAGUAUUGCACCAAUCUCCCUGAGGAAGAAAGCAGGGAUCCUACAGCCUAUUUUUAGAGAAUCUGUCUGCCUUUCCAGCCUCGGGCUCUUCAGUGUCCUUUCCUACAGCUUUCAGGAUGGGUUCACCCUCGUGGGUAAGCAUCUCCAUGUCAUCAGAAAAUUUCAUCUCAUCCCACUCACGGAUGUGAUCUGAGGGAUUUGGAGGCAUAGAUUUAAAAAAAUAAAGGGGCAGAGAG